rfam:Triticum aestivum genome assembly, contig: Triticum_aestivum_CS42_TGACv1_scaffold_227158_3B
GUUGUACUCCCUCCGUCCGAAAAAACUUGUCCCUCAAAUGGAUCUAGCACUAAGUUAGUGCUAGAUACAUCCAUUUGAAGGACAAACUUAGGACAAGCUUUUUCGGACGGAGGGAUUAUAUC